CAGAGGGUGCAAACGUUGUUCGGAAUUACUGGGCGUAAAGCGCGUGUAGGCGGCUUGGCAAGUCGGGUGUGAAAGCCCCGGGCUCAACCUGGGAAGUGCACUCGAAACUGCUUGGCUUGAGUACUGGAGAGGGAAGCGGAAUUCUCGGUGUAGAGGUGAAAUUCGUAGAUAUCGAGAGGAACACCGGUGGCGAAGGCGGCUUCCUGGACAGUUACUGACGCUGAGACGCGAAAGCGUGGGGAGCAAACAGGAUUAGAUACCCUGGUAGUCCACGCCGUAAACGAUGGGUGCUAGGUGUCGCGGGCAUUGACCCCUGCGGUGCCGUAGCUAACGCAUUAAGCACCCCGCCUGGGGAGUACGGCCGCAAGGCUA
rnacentral:rRNA from 1 species